UACGAAGGGGGCUAGCGUUGCUCGGAAUUACUGGGCGUAAAGGGCGCGUAGGCGGAUAGUUUAGUCAGAGGUGAAAGCCCAGGGCUCAACCUUGGAAUUGCCUUUGAUACUGGCUAUCUUGAGUACGGAAGAGGUAUGUGGAACUCCGAGUGUAGAGGUGAAAUUCGUAGAUAUUCGGAAGAACACCAGUGGUGAAGGCGACAUACUGGUCCGUUACUGACGCUGAGGCUCGAAAGCGUGGGGAGCAAACAGG
rnacentral:rRNA from 1 species